rnacentral:tRNA from 2 species
GCGGCUAUAGUUUAGUGGUAGAACUCCAGCUUGUGGAGCUGGUCGCGAGAGUUCGAUUCUCUCUAGCCGCCCCC